UGGGGAAUAUUGCGCAAUGGGCGAAAGCCUGACGCAGCAACGCCGCGUGAGUGAUGAAGGCCUUCGGGUCGUAAAGCUCUGUCGGAGGGAACGAAUGCUUUCGGGGUUAACAGCCCCGGGAAGUGACGGUACCCUCAAAGGCAGCACCGGCUAACUCUGUGCCAGCAGCCGCGGUAAUACAGAGGGUGCUAGCGUUGUUCGGAAUCAUUGGGCGUAAAGGGCGUGUAGGCGGUUUGUUAAGUCAUGUGUGAAUUCCCUCGGCUCAACCGGGGAAGGACGCAUGAAACUGGCAAGCUAGAGUACCAAAGAGGGGGGUGGAAUUCCCGGUGUGGCGGUGAAAUGCGUAGAUAUCGGGAGGAACACCUGUGGCGAAGGCGGCCCCCUGGUUGGAUACUGACGCUGAUACGCGAAAGCGUGGGGAGCAAAC
rnacentral:rRNA from 1 species